rnacentral:tRNA from 1 species
CGGGGCGUAGCUUAAAGGUAGAGCAGCGAGCUUAUACCUAGUAACGACAGAUAAUCGGCUGAUGCAGGUUCGACUCCUGCCGCCCCGA